CACUUCUAAAAAACCUGAACUGCCAUACUGAUUUUCCUCCUUUCAGCAUCAGCCCUCACAUCACUCUCUGGGGCCAGGGAAUUCUGGCACUCAUUGCCUUCUAACCCAAAGGGCCAUGUUGUCAUUAAGUCUAAGCAGAGGAUCAAGCUAAUUGCUGUUUGGGUGCUGUGGAAACUGGCUGUCCUGCAUUAUGUACCUUGAUCACUGGUGCUGUCCCAGUAAACUAAAUUAAUUUCAAUAAUGGUGCACUUGUCUUCUUGCAGGGCCAGGAACAGCAUGAAGAUCAGUGCAGCAUCAGUUAAGCAAUGACCAACACUAAACAGCAGAAUAGAGCGUCAUGCAGUAGCAAGCGGUUGCCUCACUUCAAAAAGGGAGCCAAACUCGGAGCAGAGCAGCCUGAGGAGCAUUCUCACUGAACAAACAUGUCUCCAGAACUGCAGUGCUCUGUAUCUCCAGGCUGACACUGCUAUCAGAAUGAAAACAUUUGGUGGAUUCUAGAUGAAGCAAGCUGCAUUAAAUAGUUGGUUUUUAACUUCCUUUAAAUAUUUGAACAAAAGAGCUGCUUUUAAUCACCAACCCCCAAACAACUCUCCACAACUUUCUGGUGAUAAACAGCAUCUGUAGAAAUAAAAAGGUUUGGAUGAACAACUGAGAGGAGAAGGUCGAAGUAAUACAUAGUGAAGCAACUGUUACCAUCGCGUGUAUGUAGAAUCAGCUUCUGCAAGGGAGCUGUCGUGGAGCAGCUGGCUGUGAAAUACGAGAAUCUGGGAGGACAAAUGAAUCUCUUCCCACUAACCCAAUACUGUGAGAAUAUCAACCACCAGCCUGGGCAACAUGGUGAAAUUCCAUCUCUACAAAAGAAAAAUACAAAAAUUAUCUGGGCAUGGUGGCACGUGCCUGUAUUCCCAGCUACUUGGAAGGCGAAGUGGGAGGGUUACUUGAGCCCAGGAGGUUGAGGCUAUAGCGAGGUGAGAUCACACCGAAAACUAAACCA
rnacentral:lncRNA from 1 species